GGCCAAAACUAAAAAGACUAGCAAAGUUGGAUCCCAUAUGAAUGGCUCCCAAGGGUUACAUUCACGUCUAAUUAUCUUUUGUGAUUAAUGUUUAUAUUGAUCGACCAUCUAGGCAAGGCCAUGUCUGGACAGAAUCUGGGUUCUUCGUUCGUGUUCGACACCGUCAAUGCCAGGAGGCAUGGCUAUAUUGAACAUUUCAUAGUCCAGGAGAUGCACCGGUGGUGGUUGUAGUUGUUGUUGCGUGUCGUCGUUCGCUUUGGCUUUUUGUUUUCUUGUUUCCUUUUUUUUGGCUAUGUGCAUCCUCGAUAUCUCGGUUGUUCUUGACAUUGUGUUGUUGCAGAGGCUAUAGGUGUACUUGAUAUCUUUUUGAUAUUAAUAAUAUUACUCUUUAUCGAAAAAAAUGUCUGUCAAUAGCGGACUAGCGGAGGCCACUUAGCUAGUUACUCUCUCCGUGGCUACUGAAUCCAAACGAGUCCAAAUUUGUCACUCAAGUAAAGCAGUAAAACGCAAACAACCACAUUAUUAUUUUAGAUGGUGGCCUGGGAGGGGGGGGGGGUGUUUAUGAAAUGAGGUAAUGAUUAUUUAAUAUUUAUCUUUUUCCUAUCUGUGAUUAAUCUAUACAUUUAUUGACAAUAUAUGCAAGACCAUUUCUGACGGAAAAUGUAAGUCUCUACUAGCGUGAACCGUCGUAUCGCGGGGCUACUUAGCAGGUUACUUGCUGGCCACUGAAUGCAAGCCAGCUAGCAGUGGCAGAGCUAGACGAGAAUGUCUUUCUGAACCGCAGCGGUGCGAUGGGGGUCAGGGGGAUCGGCAGCAGCGUGCGGUCAAGGUGGGCCUGGGCCCUUGGUGUUCUAAUGCGGCGCUUUUGCAGAG
rnacentral:lncRNA from 1 species